rnacentral:rRNA from 1 species
GCAGUAGGGAAUCUUCGGCAAUGGACGAAAGUCUGACCGAGCAACGCCGCGUGAGUGAAGAAGGUUUUCGGAUCGUAAAACUCUGUUGUUAGAGAAGAACAAGGAUGAGAGUAACUGUUCAUCCCUUGACGGUAUCUAACCAGAAAGCCACGGCUAACUACGUGCC